GGCUCCGUGGCUUAAUGGUUACGGCUUCUGCCUCACAAGCAGAAGGUUCAGGGAUCAAAUCCCGGUCGGUACCC
rnacentral:tRNA from 1 species